rnacentral:misc_RNA from 1 species
GAUGAAGAACGUAGCGAAAUGCGAUAAGUAGUGUGAAUUGCAGAAUUCAGUGAAUCAUCGAAUCUUUGAACGCACAUUGCGCCCCUUGGUAUUCCAUGGGGCAUGCCUGUUCGAGCGUCAUUUGUACCUUCAAGCUUUGCUUGGUGUUGGGUGUUUGUCCUUGCUCUAGUGGCGGGACUCGCCUUAAAGUAAUUGGCAGCCUGUGUUUUGGUUUUGAAGCGCAGCACAAGUCGCGAUUCAAGUCUAUACGCUAGUUUCCACAAGUCUUUUAUCACUUUUGACCUCGGAUCAGGUAGGGAUACCCGCUGAACUUAAGCAUAUCAAUAAGCGGAGGA